GACGAACGCUGGCGGCGUGCUUAACACAUGCAAGUCGAACGGAAAGGCCCUGCUUGCAGGGUACUCGAGUGGCGAACGGGUGAGUAACACGUGGGUGAUCUGCCCUGCACUUCGGGAUAAGCUUGGGAAACUGGGUCUAAUACCGGAUAGGACCGCACUUUAGUGUGUGUGGUGGAAAGUUUUUUCGGUGUAGGAUGAGCUCGCGGCCUAUCAGCUUGUUGGUGGGGUAAUGGCCUACCAAGGCGGCGACGGGUAGCCGGCCUGAGAGGGUGUACGGCCACAUUGGGACUGAGAUACGGCCCAGACUCCUACGGGAGGCAGCAGUGGGGAAUAUUGCACAAUGGGCGCAAGCCUGAUGCAGCGACGCCGCGUGGGGGAUGAAGGCCUUCGGGUUGUAAACUCCUUUCGCUAGGGACGAAGCUUUUUGGGACGGUACCUAGAUAAGAAGCACCGGCUAACUACGU
rnacentral:rRNA from 1 species